rnacentral:rRNA from 1 species
GUGUCAGCCGCCGCGGUAAUACAGAGGGUGCGAGCGUUAAUCGGAUUUACUGGGCGUAAAGCGUGCGUAGGCGGCUUAUUAAGUCGGAUGUGAAAUCCCCGAGCUUAACUUGGGAAUUGCAUUCGAUACUGGUGAACUAGAGUAUGGGAGAGGAUGGUAGAAUUCCAGGUGUAGCGGUGAAAUGCGUAGAGAUCUGGAGGAAUACCGAUGGCGAAGGCAGCCAUCUGGCCUAAUACUGACGCUGAGGUACGAAAGCAUGGGGAGCAAACAGGAUUAGAUACCCGAGUAGUCC